rnacentral:rRNA from 1 species
GACGAACGCUGGCGGCGUGCUUAACACAUGCAAGUCGAACGGAAAGGCCCUGCUUUUGUGGGGUGCUCGAGUGGCGAACGGGUGAGUAACACGUGAGUAACCUGCCCUUGACUUUGGGAUAACUUCAGGAAACUGGGGCUAAUACCGGAUAGGAGCUCCUGCUACAUGGUGGGGGUUGGAAAGUUUCGGCGGUUGGGGAUGGACUCGCGGCUUAUCAGCUUGUUGGUGGGGUAGUGGCUUACCAAGGCUUUGACGGGUAGCCGGCCUGAGAGGGUGACCGGCCACAUUGGGACUGAGAUACGGACCAGACUCCUACGGGAGGCAGCAGUGGGGAAUAUUGCACAAUGGGCGGAAGCCUGAUGCAGCAACGCCGCGUGCGGGAUGACGGCCUUCGGGUUGUAAACCGCUUUCGCCUGUGACGAAGCGUGAGUGACGGUAAUGGGUAAAGAAGCACCGGCUAACUACGUG